rnacentral:lncRNA from 1 species
CUUGUCUUUUAUCUAUAUGAUACAUAGAUAAUAGAUUCAUUGUUUCUUUUUUUCUUUUUUAGUUUCACUUCAGCCUUGUCUAAUUAAUUCUAUUUUUUUUCUGGUGUAAAAUAAGGGUUUAAUUUUUUCUUUUUGACUUUGUCUUUAGUUAAUUUUUUCUUUUUAACUUGUAGAUAAGUGAUCCAAAGAAAGAUGUUUCAACUCAAAGUUCACAAAAUUCU